rnacentral:rRNA from 1 species
UACGGAAGGCAGCAGUGGGGAAUAUUGCACAAUGGGCGCAAGCCUGAUGCAGCCAUGCCGCGUGUAUGAAGAAGGCCUUCGGGUUGUAAAGUACUUUCAGUCGUGAGGAAGGUGUUAAGGUUAAUAACCUUAGCAAUUGACGUUAGCGACAGAAGAAGCACCGGCUAACUCCGUGCCAGCAGCCGCGGUAAUACGGAGGGUGCGAGCGUUAAAUCGGAAUUACUGGGCGUAAAAGGGCACGCAGGCGGUUAAUUAAGUUGGAUGUGAAAUCCCCGGGCUUAACCUGGGAAUGGCAUUCAAGACUGGUUAGCUAGAGUCUUGUAGAGGGGGUAGAAUUCCAUGUGUAGCGGUGAAAUGCGUAGAGAUGUGGAGGAAUACCGGUGGCGAAAGGCGGCCCCUGGGACAAAGACUGACGCUCAUGUGCGAAAGCGUGGGGAGCAAAACAGGAUUAGA